GUCACUUAUCGUUUACCAGUUAGAAAUGCAAAUCAGUUAUAUCAUAUACAAAAGGGGGGAUAACUCUCAUAUGGAGUCUCCGGAUAGCUUCGACUAAAAUUAUUCAUUUCAUCCUGAGGAUAUAACGAGCAAUUUGGUAAAAUAAAUUUGUCGGUUUCUUAUACGGUUGCGACAUAUAAGUGAUAACAAGAAAAACAGUGUUCGGGGAGAUAACUCUUACAUGGAAAAGAUUUUUGUUACGCGGUGUCAGUUUCAAAAGCGUAUUAACUCUUCGAUAUCAUAUACAAAAUAUCUAAGUGACAUCUUGUGAAACAAAAAGUAAGCGAAGGAAAGAAAAUUAGGCGGAAGAAAAAAAAUAAUAAUAAUCAGAAGAAAACCAAUAGGUCUUUCCACGGAAAAGUGGAAAGACCUAACAAGACUAAGAA
rnacentral:lncRNA from 1 species